UUUUUUUUGUUUUUUUGCUUUUUAGGGCCACAACUGUGGCAUAUGGGAAUUUCCAGGCUAGGGGCCAAAUUGGAGCUGCAGCUGCUGGCCUACAUCACAGCAAUGCCAAAUCCAAGCUGUGUCUGCAACCUACACCACAGCUCACUGCAAUGCCGGAUCCUUAACCCACUGAGUGAGGCCAAGUAUUGAAAUCAUGUUCUCAUGCAUACGAGUUGGGUUCAUUUCCACCGAGCCACGAUGGGAACUCCCAUGAAUAAACACUUUUAAGUAGAUCACCAGCUGCUUUAAUGUCCUGGCUUUUUAUGCCAUUCUCAAGAGAUAAUGGUCAACUAUAAAUGUUGCAGCUGCAAAAAUAGGCUUUUGAAAAUAAACCCAAGUUCCUCAAGUUGAGGCAGUGAUUCAGGUCAGAAUGAGAACAUACUCAACAGCUGAAAUGUAAGCUACCACUUUCCAUUUUAUGUAAUAGCUACGGCUAUGGAAUAAAAGUGUGACAACAGUAGGACUUUAUUAUGAUUCUGCACUGUUAACAUGUUUAACGAUCACAAGACUCAAACUCGGAAGUAUGUUAUAACCCUCAAAAAAUGAGGGAUGGGGAAAAGGUUUUCUGUUUAACACAUCUUUUAUUUUCACCUCUGUUUCUAGCCAUCAAUUGCUAAAAUUUAGCAAUUGAUGGCUAGAAAUGCUUAAAUGCUAUUGAACAAAGAAUGUCAUUCUAAGAGGCUGUAACUUUCUGUGUGACAGGUAAAAUACUUUUCAAUAUUAUAUUUUAAAAUUAGCCAAGGAAUAGGUCAUAAGAGAAAUUUAAUAUAAGUACUGAGUAAAUGUAUUAAUAACACACGCUAUGAGGAGCCAGGCCUAUGCCUAGUUAUACCUAAUGGCAGGAUUAUAAAGAUGGAUUUCUCCUAAGGAUUUGAUUUCUACAGUUCAGUGGCCUGUUCUUGCUUUUAGAUACAUAUGCCUCAAAUGAUAAGCUCUUAAGUAAGUUUAAAGUAGAAUGUUAUUCUAGCACAACUAGUUAGUAUCUAUUAACAGUGAAAACUGGGAUAACUUACUAGCUACCUCUCUCUCUCUUUUUUUUUUUUUUGGCCAUGCCCACAGCAUGUGGAAGUUCCCCAGCCAGGAAUCAAACACAAGCCACAGCAGUAACCCAAGUCACAACACUGAAACGACAAGUCCUUAAUCACUAGUUCACCAGGGAAUGCCAAUUACUUCUGUUUUUUGAAAGUCUUUCACAAGACAUUUCAGUACAGCUUCUUUCUUUCAUAUCAGCCGUCGCAGCUACAAUGCUCAAAAUUUAGAAUCCUUUACAUUGUACACUGUGCUGAUUAUUUAGAAACCUACUACUGCCACUUGUUAGCUAUGUGAUCUUAGGGGAGUUACCUAAUAUUUCUGAACUUUAAUUUCCUUGUCUCUAAAUGGGGGUCAUAAUCUACAGAACAUACUGUGUUAUUUUUUUUCAUGAUCAUGUAAAAUAAUCAAAAUUGAGAGUUAAGCUCAAAUCUUAAUAUAAAAGCAUGAAAGUAUUAGUGCUAUCUUAUAUCCUUCAUCAUACUACAGUGGAGUAGAAAUGAAUAUAUGAAUAUUUGCACUCUCUUGAACUUUGAGGAAAGAGGAGAGAUUAUAAUAAUCAGUCUGUAAUAGAGUUGGAAAGACCUUCAUAAAAUUUGUCUUUUGCCAAUAUAUUAUUAGAGCACAUCACAGAAAUUUAACUCAUUCUAAUAAAACUGGUAAUACCAAUAUCAAGGAAUGUAAGUUAAUGUCCCCUACAUUAACAAGUAAGAGUAAGUGGUCCAAAUAAGUUGAAUUAAAAUAGCAGUUUGUGUUCCUUGUAUUUAUGUCUUUAAAUUCAAUCUCAAAACUUAUUGCUCGAAACAGAAAUAUUUGCAGUUUCUUCAUGGAGCUCACUAAACCCCUAGCCCUGGGUUAACUAUUGUCAUACACCCUAAAUAGAAAUUUUCUCUGCAUUUUAUCAUUCUUUCACAGGAGAUAAAAAGACCAGGUAAGCAUAUUCAAAACAUGAUUUUUCCUGAGUGAAUAGGGAGGAGAAACCGCUGAGAUCCUCGUACUUGGCUUUUUAGAUCACCAAGAAUAGGGAUAUAUGAUCAAAGACUGAAUGUGCUUAAGAAUAGCAGGGUAAGUAAAAAUGACAACAAUAUGAAUGACUCAAGGGUCAGCCAGUUUAUGGUACUAGAGGCUCAUCGGGAAUAUUAAAUCCAUUAUUCACUGCAGACAGUCUGUGUAAACCAGGGCCUUCCAGACUAUCUACUUACUCUUAAUAUUUUCUAAACAAUAGUGUCCUUUAUGAUACUAACAGUAUCAAUAAGCAGGACAUAAAAAUAAGAAAGACAUUUUAGAUUAAGUUUUCUUUUUCAAAAAUGUAGAUUUUUAAAAUAUAUGUGCAAGACAAAGGUGGAUCUGCCAGAGUAAAGACAUUUCUAUCAGAUGCUCUUCUUUGAAACCAAUGAAAACUACAAAAUGCCUGAAACUCAAUAAAAAUUGUCUGUCUUCAAUGAAAAUAUGGAAAGCCAACUCAACUUCAAACCCUAUUCUAUAAAUAAGCUGCCAAGAACAGCGACAUCAGAACCAAUUUGUGGCAUGAUGCCUAGACUAGAUCUUUCUUUAUAUCUAAGUCUGUGGCUAUGUUUGCAUUUUCAUCUAAGUACGUUAAUGUACACAAAGCCAGAUAGCACAGACCUGAAAUGCCUGUGACCCACACAAUUCAUGCUUGAUUGCUUAUUUGAGAUAUGUUUAAGAAACUGAAUGAGUUAUGGAAAAAUACAUAAGCCUCAUCCCACCCUGCAGAGAGGCAGAGAGUGAGGCCAAGCAAGGAACUGACAAAUAUUCUCAAGAACAAGGGCUUAAGUGGGAGGGAAUGAAGGAAACAAUCACAACAGCUGAUCAUAAGCCACUGAAGAACUUGCAAAAAUACAGACUCAUCAAAAACAAAAGCUAUGAGAGAAUGACUCACUCUGGUCCAAGCUUACUUCCGUUUUGCCUCAAAUGCUCAGAGCACUGAGUGGAUAAUGGUGUAUACAUAUGCUCAGAUGGGGUAACAACAUAUUCUGAGAAAUAUUUCUUUCCCAGCUUAUUUUUUUAGCAUAUUGCUGAUACUGACAGAAUAGACCCCAUUAAAAAUAAUUUAAGAUGAGAAGAACUCUGUACACAAACUAGGUAUCCUCACAUAAAAGGAGUAAAGUAACACAACAGGAGUUCCCAUCGUGGCUCAGUGGUUAACGAAUCCGACUGGGAACCAUGAGAUUGCAGGUUCGAGCCCUGGCCUUGCUCAUGGGUUAAGGAUCUGGUGUUGCCGUGAGUUGUGGUCUAGAUCUCAGAUGUGGCUUGGAUCCUGCGUUGCUGUGGCUGUGGUCUAGGCCAGCAGCUGUAGCUCUGAUUCACCCCCUAGCCUGG
rnacentral:lncRNA from 1 species